rnacentral:sRNA from 12 species
GGAUCGUAGCUAAUGACUACCAUCUUCGGGGUUAAGAUACCAGCAUCAAUAUGGUACUGAAUACUAGUUGUAUCUUUUCUGCCGAUUCUCCAGUAUGAGUAAAAACUACCGUUUGGGCUGCGUGAAACGCGCCGGGUCCACC